UACGUAGGGCGCGAGCGUUGUCCGGAAUUAUUGGGCGUAAAGAGCUCGUAGGCGGCCUGUUGCGUCCGCUGUGAAAUCCCAGGGCUUAACCCUGGGCGUGCAGUGGAUACGGGCAGGCUGGAGGCAGGCAGGGGAGAACGGAAUUCCCGGUGUAGCGGUGAAAUGCGCAGAUAUCGGGAGGAACACCGGUGGCGAAGGCGGCUUCCUGGCCUGUUCUUGACGCUGAGGCGCGAAAGCUAGGGGAGCAAACGGG
rnacentral:rRNA from 1 species